AUACGUAGGUGACAAGCGUUAUCCGGAUUUACUGGGCGUAAAGGGCGUGUAGGCGGUCUUGCAAGUCAGAAGUGAAAUUCCUGAGCUCAACUCGGGCGCUGCUUCUGAAACUGCAGGACUUGAGUGCUGGAGGGGAUAGCGGAAUUCCUAGUGGAGCGGUAAAAUGCGCAGAUAUAAGGAAGAACACCGGUGGCGAAGGCGGCUAUCUGGACAGUAACUGACGCUGGGUGGCGAAAGCGUGGGGAGCAAAAAGGAUUAGAUACCCUGGUAGUCCACGCCGUAAACGAUUAAUACUAGGUGUAGGGGGUAUCGACUCCCUCUGUGCCGCAGUUAACACAAUAAGUAUUCCGCCUGGGGAGUACGGCCGCAAGGUUGAAACUCAAAUGAAUUGGCGGGG
rnacentral:rRNA from 1 species